rnacentral:rRNA from 1 species
CGUUAUAACCGGCGAUGUCCGAAUGGGGAAACCCAGUGCAAUUCGUUGCACUAUCGUUAACUGAAUACAUAGGUUAACGAGGCGAACCGGGGGAACUGAAACAUCUAAGUACCCCGAGGAAAAGAAAUCAACCGAGAUUCCCCCAGUAGCGGCGAGCGAACGGGGAGCAGCCCAGAGUCUGAAUCAGCUUGUGUGUUAGUGGAACGGUCUGGAAAGUCCGACGGUACAGGGUGAUAGUCCCGUACACCAAAAUGCACAGGCUGUGAACUCGAAGAGUAGGGCGGGACACGUGGUAUCCUGUCUGAAUAUGGGGGGACCAUCCUCCAAGGCUAAAUACUCCUGACUGACCGAUAGUGAACCAGUACCGUGAGGGAAAGGCGAAAAGAACCCCGGCGAGGGGAGUGAAAAAGAACCUGAAACCGUGUACGUACAAGCAGUGGGAGCACCUUCGGGUGUGACUGCGUACCUUUUGUAUAAUGGGUCAGCGACUUAUAUUCUGUAGCAAGGUUAACCGUAUAGGGGAGCCGCAG